rnacentral:tRNA from 1 species
ACUGCGGUGGUGUAAUGGUUAGCAUUUUUGCCUAACAAGCAAGAAGACCCGGGUUCGAGUCCUGGCCGCAGAA